UUUAUUCAAUUCUAAAUACAAAACUUCGGACCCAACGGCUUGCAUGGUCACGGAAGACUUUAAACAUUACUUUUGAUAGUUUCUUCGAUAACUAAAUUAUUUUCUAAGACUUUCUAGAAAAUUCUCAGAAUACGACAACGCUUACAAAAUUUAGGUAUUUGUCAGUGAACCAUUAGUAAAAACUUGCUCAAGGAUUUUAGGUUAUUAUUAUUAUUAUUUUAAUAUUCCAGCGCGGUAAAUAUAUUUAUUUUAAUGCCACCAAGAGUGGGGUUCGUCGAUAGUGCCUAUGUGUGUUUCUGGAUGCCUCGUUUAGGCAUAAGCACGACCAAGCAGUUCGUACAAGGUUAAAUUGAAUGAAUUUGAGUUACGCCUCGUCUCGCCAUUUGGACUACGCGAGUCGCGCGCGCGCCACCUCCCGCCGCACGAACGAAGUUUAACGCGACCGAAAAAAAAACGCCCUCUGCCCUUUUCGCCCUCGAAAAAUCACCCUCGUAAACCACCCUCGGUUUCCAAGCCCUUCAAACGAGCACACCGUUAAAACGCCCCAAGAACCUUCCAACAGCCGGAUGCCCGGUACGAAUCGAAAAAAAAAACCCUUUUCCUCCCGCGGCGUUUCGUAACUAUAAACGCGAUACAUUGCUAAAACAAAACGCGAUCAUUUUACUGGACAUUUUAUUUAUUUAUUUUUUUCGUAACCUCUGUGCCUUUUUGCCGUUAAUCUUUCGAAUAGUCAUUCAGGUUAAGUUCUGUCGAAUUUUUAGCCCUUAUCAAGGCAUUAUCCGGUUUUAUCUGUUACUUAUUUUAUCGGUGUUGUGCGUUCAAAAGUGUCCGUCGAGUGCGAGUGGCGCGCGCGCGCCGGCUGUCGGCCAUUUGUUAGGCCUAAAUAAGCGGCAGCCGCGGGCAGAUGCGAAAUUUUUGCACAAAUAUCGAUCGAAAGAAUCCAAUAAGAUUCUUAUAGGCCUAUUUAGAAAAUUGUCGGAAAACACUGUGUAGACGUUCUAUUAUCGAUUUAAAGUGAUUUUCGGUCAAGGAACACGUUUCGAAUAUGAAUUUUGAACGAAUUCGUGAAGUGCUAGUGUCGGAACUCGGUGCGAGUCGCGAAAGUGUUUGCUGAUACUCGUAGGAUGGAUACAGUUCGACAAUUCCCGAUCUAAAUAUUGAUUGCGAGCACUACGAUAUGUUACGAUACAUUAACGAAAUAUAAUUAAAAGAAAAAAUGGAACCUGUUAUGGUGAGUCUCUUCUGUUAUAUUUUUAACUGAUUUAAAAAAAGGAAGUAGUUUUCAUUCGACUAUUUGUUAGGUGAACCGAUUUUAAAUUUUUAUUUUAUUUUAUUUAAACGCUGGUGCUUCUCAUGUCGUCCAAUAUUAUCGAGAUCUGACCAAUUGUUUUUUCUCCUUCUUCUUCUUCAACCCGUGACCGGCUCGUGGGUCGCGAUUCCGGUCCAGUGGUCGAUUCUGCGAAGCACUGCUAUUGCUAGGGCUGGUGUUAGCAAAUUCUCUCAGGUCGAGCCCGUGAGCUCACCUAUACCUCAACUGAAAUAGCCCCAUAAGCUACCAGAUAAUAGGAAGUCGCUUUGAAGUCGUCGUGGCCUAAAGGAUAAGACGUGCGGUGCAUUUGUACGUUUUUGUUUUUGUUUUUUUUAUUGCUUAGAUGGGUGGACGAGCUCACAGCCCACCUCGUGUUAAGUUGUUACUGGAGCCCAUAAACAUCCACAACGUAAAUGCGCCACCCAUAUUGAGAUAUAAGUUCUAAGGUCUCAAUAUAGUUACAACGGCUGGCCCACCCU